UACGUAGGGUGCGAGCGUUGUCCGGAAUUACUGGGCGUAAAGAGCUCGUAGGUGGUUUGUCGCGUUGUUCGUGAAAUCUCACGGCUUAACUGUGAGCGUGCGGGCGAUACGGGCAGACUAGAGUACUGCAGGGGAGACUGGAAUUCCUGGUGUAGCGGUGGAAUGCGCAGAUAUCAGGAGGAACACCAGUGGCGAAGGCGAGUCUCUGGGCAGUAACUGACGCUGAGGAGCGAAAGCGUGGGGAGCGAACAGG
rnacentral:rRNA from 1 species